UAAUGUAUCAGAUGAAACAAACCUGAGUAGUAUUUGCCUCUUAUCUUCAUUGGAAGUGUUAGAUCUAUGUGGGAACAACUUUGUAACUUUGCCAAACUUCAGGGGACUUUCUAACUUAGAAGCUCUGCGGUUGGACAAGUGUAAAAGACUGAAAGUACUGCCAGAACUUCCUUCAAACAUAUAUCUUUUAUCUGCACAAGAUUGCAUAUCAUUCAAAAAUGCCUCAAAACAUGAACUUCAGUUAGUACUUCCAACCACAAAGUGGCCAAAGAGAACUUCCAGGCAUGGUUUGGGUAAAUUACUGGAGCUUGUUUCUACCUACCACGCGCAAAGUAAUCCGGAUUUUUCAGUAUGGCGUGCCUUCCUCGAUUUUUCAGCAAGCGCUCAGGAUGAUGGACCUCCC